ACACAUGCAAGUCGAGCGGUAAGGCCCUUCGGGGUACACGAGCGGCGAACGGGUGAGUAACACGUGAGCAACCUGCCCCUGACUCCGGGAUAAGCGGUGGAAACGCCGUCUAAUACCGGAUACGACUCUCCGGCUCAUGCUGGAGGGUGGAAAGUUUUUUCGGUCGGGGAUGGGCUCGCGGCCUAUCAGCUUGUUGGUGGGGUAAUGGCCCACCAAGGCGAUUACGGGUAGCCGGCCUGAGAGGGUGACCGGCCACACUGGGACUGAGACACGGCCCAGACUCCUGCGGGAGGCAGCAGUGGGGAAUCUUGCGCAAUGGGCGAAAGCCUGACGCAGCGACGCCGCGUGGGGGAUGACGGCCUUCGGGUUGUAAACUCCUUUUACCACUCACGCAGGCUCCCAGUUCUCUGGGGGUUGACGGUAAGUGGGGAAUAAGGACCGGCUAACUACGUGCCAGCAGCCGCGGUAAUACGUAGGGUCCGAGCGUUGUCCGGAAUUAUUGGGCGUAAAGAGCUCGUAGGCGGCAUGUCACGUCUGCUGUGAAAGACCGGGGCUUAACUUCGGUUUUGCAGUGGAUACGGGCAUGCUAGAGGUAGGUAGGGGAGACUGGAAUUCCUGGUGUAGCGGUGGAAUGCGCAGAUAUCAGGAGGAACACCGGUGGCGAAGGCGGGUCUCUGGGCCUUACCUGACGCUGAGGAGCGAAAGCAUGGGUAGCGAACAGGAUUAGAUACCCUGGUAGUCCAUGCCGUAAACGAUGGGCGCUAGGUGUGGGGACUUUCCACGGUUUCCGCGCCGUAGCU
rnacentral:rRNA from 1 species